UAAUACGGAGGUGGCAAGCGUUGUUCGGAUUUAUUGGGCGUAAAGGGUGUGUAGGCGUCCUGUUAAGUCGUAUGUGAAAGCCUUUGGCUCAACCAAAGAAUUGCAUACGAAACUAACAGGAUUGGGUGCAAAAGGGGAGAAUGGAAUUCCCGGUGUAGAGGUGAAAUUCGUAGAUAUUGGGAAGAACACCAGUGGCGAAGGCGAUUCUCUGGUUUGAUACCGACGCUGAAACACGAAAGCUAGGGGAGCAAACAGGAUUAGAUACCCUGGUAGUCCUAGCUGUAAACGAUGGGCACUAGGUGUAGGCUCGCAAGGGCCUGUGCCGCAGCUAACGCAUUAAGUGCCCCGCCUGGGGAGUACGGUCGCAAGACUG
rnacentral:rRNA from 1 species